AGUGAGCGCUGGCGGUAGGCCUAACACAUGCAAGUCGAACGGCAGCACAGUAAGAGCUUGCUCUUACGGGUGGCGAGUGGCGGACGGGUGAGGAAUACAUCGGAAUCUACUUUUUCGUGGGGGAUAACGUAGGGAAACUUACGCUAAUACCGCAUACGACCUACGGGUGAAAGCAGGGGAUCUUCGGACCUUGCGCGAUUGAAUGAGCCGAUGUCGGAUUAGCUAGUUGGCGGGGUAAAGGCCCACCAAGGCGACGAUCCGUAGCUGGUCUGAGAGGAUGAUCAGCCACACUGGAACUGAGACACGGUCCAGACUCCUACGGGAGGCAGCAGUGGGGAAUAUUGGACAAGGGGCGCAAGCCUGAUCCAGCCAUACCGCGUGGGUGAAGAAGGCCUUCGGGUUGCAAAGCCCUUUUGUUGGGAAAGAAAAGCAGCAGGUUAAUACCCCGCUGUUCUGACGGUACCCAAAGAAUAAGCACCGGCUAACUUCG
rnacentral:rRNA from 1 species